UCGCUGGCAACUAGAGCGUCAGGGCCAUACCCGUUCCCAUCCCGAACACGGUCGUCAAGCCUGAUAGCGCCGAUGGUACUCCGGGCGAGAGCUCGCGGGAGAGUAGGCCGUUGCCGGCACCU
rnacentral:rRNA from 2 species